AAAUCAUUUUAAUCUCUUAGGAAUAUUUUUGGUCAUUGGAUAAGCUUCAGACCAUCCAAAUUUGCUCGAAAAAUCCUCAUUUUAAUCCAAAUCAACGUCGGAUCGAAUGUUAGCUGUUGGAUCUGGGUUCUGAUGAAGUUCUGACAGUUGGAUCGCGCAAAAGAUCUCCUAUUCAAAGUCGAAAAUAUCCUCAGCCAUC
rnacentral:lncRNA from 1 species